ACGCUGGCGGCGUGCCUAACACAUGCAAGUCGAACGGAGUUUAAGCCCCUUUCGGGACUUAACUUAGUGGCGAACGGGUGAGUAACGCGUGAGGAACCUGCCUUUCAGUUGGGGGGACAACAGUUGGAAACGACUGCUAAUACCGCAUAACAUACUCGGGGGACAUCCCCUGGGUAUCAAAGCUUUAUGUGCUGAAAGAUGGCCUCGCGUCUGAUUAGAUAGUUGGUGGGGUAACGGCCCACCAUGGCGACGAUCAGUAGCCGGUCUGAGAGGAUGAACGGCCACAUUGGGACUGAGAUACGGCCCAGACUCCUACGGGAGGCAGCAGUGGGGAAUAUUGCGCAAUGGGGGAAACCCUGACGCAGCAACGCCGCGUUGAGGAUGACGGUUUUCGGAUUGUAAACUCAUGUCUGGUGGGAAGAUAGUGACGGUACCACCGGAGGAAGUCACGGCUAACUACGUG
rnacentral:rRNA from 1 species